UCACUUUUGGCUUAGUGGUUAAAGUGUGGUAUUCUGAAUCAAAAGUCCUAGGGUUCAAACCUUAGGGGCUUAA